GCCACAUGAUGCUACUCAGACAGCAUUAGCACUCAGUGCGAGGAUGACCUGGUAUCUAUCACCCGAGACUGAUGGCU